rnacentral:ncRNA from 1 species
CAAAAAGGCAAAGCCGCCGAAAGACGGUGACGCAAAGCUAUAGGGCCCUAACAGGCAGCCAGCUG